GCCUGGCUGGCUCAGACAGUAGAGCAUGUGACUCUAGAUCUCAGGGUCAUGAGUUCAAGCCCCAUGUUGGGCA
rnacentral:tRNA from 1 species